UGCCAAGCUAGAUUUGGGAGGGGGGACUUAUUUUUCUUUGGUGUUUGGUGCCUUGAUUCCUCUUCCCAGGAAAAGUCUUAUAACAUUAGUAGCUAAAAUGUACCACUGUUAAGCCAAGCAGUGGUGGUGGUGCGCCUUUAAUCCCAGCACUUGAGAGGCAGAGGCAGAAGGAUACCUGUGAGUGCAAGUCCAGUCUGGUCUACAGAGCUAGUUCCAAUACAGCCAAAGCUACACAAAGAAACCCUGCCUUGGAAAAAAUAUUAUAUCUAUCAAUCUAUCCAUCUAUCUAUCAUCUAUCUAACUAUCCAUCCAUCCAUCUAUCUAUCUAUCUAUCUAUCUAUCUAUCUAUCCAUCCAUCCAUCCAUCCAUCCAUCUAUCUAUCUAUCUAUCUAUCUAUCUAUCUAUCUAUCCAUCCAUCUACACACAUGCAUGUAUACACACACAUACACACACAUGCAUGUAUACACACACAUAUACAUCACUGUUAAUUUCUGAUUCUUGACUAUUAUGCAAUAACCACAUAAGAUGUUUACAUGGACAAGAGUAGAGUUAGUGCUUAUAGGAAUGCCAUGCAUGUUAUCUUUACAUUUACCCUAAAUUCUAAAAUUUUCACCUUGGUUCAAAGUUAAAAAUUUAAGCCAAGUAUGAUCAUACACACUUUUAAGUCCAUCGCCUGGGAGGCAGGGUUGGGUUUGAGUUUGACAGAAGUCUGAACUAUAUCAGGAAUUCUAUGCCAGCUUGGACUACAUGAAAAAAAAGCACACAUUAUCACACUUGAGAUUAGUGAUAGAUAGUCUUCUUAUGAUUUAUUCUACUGCCUCUUUUUUCUGUAUUUCAGUGUUUGGAGUAGACCCUGAUAUGAUUCAGGAUGGGUCAACCAUUCCGAUUGCUAAACUCUUCCAGACUAUUACACAAAAGAGUGUAAUGAUGCUCCCGCUGGGGGCUGUGGAUGAUGGGGAGCACUCCCAGAAUGAGAAGAUCAACAGGUGGAACUACAUACAGGGGUCCAAAUUAUUUGCCACCUUUUUCCUGGAGCUGUCAAAGCAGCACUCGUGACAACGGGUGCCUUCCAGCAUCACUGGCCCACUGACGGAUCUUCCCACUCAGACCCCCAGCAAAGCUGGAGUUGGAAAACUUCAGAAAAUGUGAAUCCAGCACAGUAUUUGUUCCUUCCCAUUUAAAAUUUCUGGGGACAUUGGGACCAGUAAUAAAACAUUGGAAAGGUA